UUUCAUGUUUUCUAACUCUUCCUUAGAAUCGCGACGCUUAAGCAAAUAUUAAAUAAAUAUAAAAGCCAAAGGCAGCUAAGAGCAACAGGUAGCUAUAAUGCCGAUAGAGUGGGUGUCCUCGUGACCACUGAGGGUGCUCAGUCAGUCCCUCCCUUCGGCCGAUACUCAGCUUUAAAGAAGACGCCUUGGACCCUCCCGCCCCCGCCUCACACUUGGACCCUGCAAACUUCCUCUUCGGAGAUGUAUUUUCUCCGCAGCUUCCUGUGUACACUGCCUGGCACUGCUUGACGAUGGAAAAAAACCAGCGUCCGGCAACAGCCCUAACCCUCACUCAACAGGGAAGAAACAGAGCUAAGAGCUGGACAGUCCUCCGUGUGGUGAGACCAUCUCCUCCCAGUUGUUCAGUGUUUAUUACACGUGCUGACCUACAGGAGGCGUGUGGUCCCUUCUAGGAGACACUGUGCAUUUAUUUAACAGCGCUUCAAAAGCAACCCUGGAUUAAGACAUGGAAGAACCGAUGAAGGACUCUGAGGGCCUGGAGAAUGGUGGGGCCACCAGAUGGCAGAAGCCCAGGUCACUGGACGACUUCCUGCUCUCCAAAAAAACCACACUGGACAAAACCACAAAAGACCGUGAUUGGUCAAGUUGGAGGUUUCAUAGGACCGAAGCAUCCUGGGACCCUAAGUCAAGGUGUGGCGGACAGGUUUCCUUGAGCGUUGUCUGAAGCAGUGCACGUGUGAGUAAUAAAGCCUCUGAGAAGGUACAUUUUUAUUAAGCACUUAAAUAUGGGCCAAGCUGAGUAAGCACUUUUUGUGAGAAAUACUUAGCACAGUGCCUGGCCCUGAUAAGCUCUCAAUUAGUGUUCAUUGUUAUUGUUAUUCCUGUUUUGUCUUAGAUGUGUCUGUAUUUGCUCAAAUGGAUCCUGUGCUUUAGAUUACAGGACACUCAUGGAUGUCGCAGGGUGGGUGGCCAUCUUUGCUUAUCUUUUUCUCUAAAACAUCUGAAAGUUGUUUUAGAGAAACAACUUCCAGCUGAACUGGAAGUGCAGAUUUCUGGGAUUAGAGACAG